rnacentral:rRNA from 1 species
UUUAAAGAAAGCGUAAUAGCUCACUAGUCGAGUCGGCCUGCGCGGAAGAUGUAACGGGGCUCAAACCAUACACCGAAGCUACGGGUGCAUCUUAGGAUGAGCGGUAGAGGAGCGUUCUGUAAGCCUGUGAAGGUCAAUUGAGAAGUUGGCUGGAGGUAUCAGAAGUGCGAAUGCUGACAUAAGUAACGACAAUGCGAGUGAAAAACUCGCACGCCGGAAGACCAAGGGUUCCUGUCCAACGCUAAUCGGGACAGGGUUAGUCGGCCCCUAAGGCGAGGGCGAAAGCCGUAGUCGAUGGGAAACAGGUUAAUAUUCCUGUACUUUUUGGUACUGCGAUGAGGGGACGGAGAAGGCUAGGCCAGCGCGGCGUUGGUUGUCCGCGUUUAAGGUAGUAGGCUGGGAUCUUAGGUAAAUCCGGGAUUCCGUUAGGCCGAGAACUGAUGACGAGUGUCCAUGUGACGCGAAGUGGUUGAUGCCAUGCUUCCAGGAAAAGCCUCUAAGCUUCAGGUAUCAAGAAACCGUACUCCAAACCGACACAGGUGGUCAGGUAGAGAAUACCAAGGCGCUUGAGAGAACUCGGGUGAAGGAACUAGGCAAAAUAGCACCGUAACUUCGGGAGAAGGUGCGCCCAGUAUCGUGGUGAUAUGCAUCACUGAGCGAUAUUGGGCCGCAGUGACCAGGCCGCUGCGACUGUUUAUCAAAAACACAGCACUCUGCAAACACGAAAGUGGACGUAUAGGGUGUGACGCCUGCCCGGUGCCGGAAGGUUAAGUGAUGGGGUGCAAGCUCUUGAUCGAAGCCCCGGUAAACGGCGGCCGUAACUAUAACGGUCCUAAGGUAGCGAAAUUCCUUGUCGGGUAAGUUCCGACCUGCACGAAUGGUGUAACCAUGGCCAUGCUGUCUCCACCCGAGACUCAGUGAAAUCGAAUUCGCCGUGAAGAUGCGGUGUACCCGCGGCUAGACGGAAAGACCCCGUGAACCUUUACUACAGCUUGGCACUGAACAUUGAACCUACAUGUGUAGGAUAGGUGGGAGGCUUUGAAGGCGUGACGCCAGUUGCGCUGGAGCCGUCCUUGAAAUACCACCCUUGUAUGUUUGAUGUUCUAACGCAGGGCCCUGAAUCGGGCUCGCGGACAGUGCCUGGUGGGUAGUUUGACUGGGGCGGUCUCCUCCCAAAGAGUAACGGAGGAGCACGAAGGUGGGCUAAUCACGGUCGGACAUCGUGAGGUUAGUGCAAUGGCAUAAGCCCGCUUAACUGCGAGACGGACAGGUCGAGCAGGUGCGAAAGCAGGUCAUAGUGAUCCGGUGGUUCUGAAUGGAAGGGC